rnacentral:rRNA from 1 species
CGUGUUGCCUGCAAGGGCGUAUGGUGGAUGCCUUGGCAGACAGGACCGAUGAAGGACGUUUGAGGCUGCGAUAUGCCUCGGGGAGCCGCCAACAGGGCUUUGAUCCGAGGAUUUCCGAAUGGGGGAACCCACCGGCCGUCAUGGGCCGGUACCGCCGUGUGCGGGGGGUACGCAGGGAAGUGAAACAUCUCAGUACCUGCAGGAAAGGAUAUUCCGUGAGUAGUGGCGAGCGAAAGCGGAUCAGGCCAAACCUUGCGCGUGUGAUACCCGUCGGGGGUUGCGCGCGGGGUGUAGAGGGAUCGCGUUUGCCGGCUCCGACGGGCCGGCCGUCAGUUGCAUAAAACCAUGUGCCAGGGGAACCG